UGGACUGAAUUUGAGCAGAAGAAAAGAAUUAGGAACUCAGUGCUGGUGGACUGACAAGUGAGGAGCUUGAUAAAUGGCUGUAUAUAUUUGUGUUUCACUGUGAGAAUGGUGUUUACUAUGGUUUAUUGCAUGUGUACUUGAAUAAACCCUGCCCUCAAGUUGGGUUCUUAAUGGACACUGAGAGAAACUAUAUUCUUUUCAUGGAGAGACCAAGAGGAAACAGAGGGGUACAUGUACAGCAGUUUUCCAGGGCCUCAACUCAUCUAUAUAUUUCUCUGCUUCUACAACAGUCUACAUAAAAAGCACUAAAAAGUCAGUACAAACUGCAAUUUCAUACCAUGAUUUCUUUCUAAUGCUCUACACUGAAAUGAAAACCUCCACUACCUCUUCAUGAAGUAUAAAAACACACUUUAAAGUGCAUCCCCUAGAAAGCCAUUGGACUCAAGUGUGGAAAAACAGAACUUUGUAUUCACUGCCUAUUUUGUUGUAGAGCUCUCCAAAGAGAUGACUAUUCAGAGGAUAUACUUUAAUGUAGUUGACCACUCAUCAUCCACCAGAGCAUUAAGGCACAUUGGUAAUGUCUUUACUGCUAGAGUUUGAUAUUGAAUUCCACAAUGAGCGACAGUCACAUCAGGUGAUAUGCACUUUAUUUUCUGCUGAAAGCCAGACCAUGCAGCCUUCAUGACUGGAACACCAUUUGUGCAGAUAGAACAAAGAUUUUCCUACUCAAGUUCAUUGCCUUUUGAAAAGGCAUUCACUUUAUUGGAAAUGGCCUAUGCUGUUGAGGUUGUUUCAAGUUGUUCACAGAACAAAACACAUCCUUCACAUCCCUGGCAUUAACCUACCACACAAACACUAUCAAUUUUGCACAGUUAGUAAUGUUAGUAGUUUCAUUAAGUCGCAGGCUGAGUAUACUGAAAGCAGAGUGUUUAAUUUUGUGCAUGACUUAGUUUUUGAUAUUUUCAGUCAUCUCACACAUUCUGCAUUUCACAGUGUCAUUCAACAUAGAAGGUAUAUUAAGCUUUUGGUGGCAUCUUGCCAAGCAUAAGUGACACUGUAUCUUUGCAUGGUGAUAGAACAAGUUCCUCAUCUUUUGUAGGUAGUAUUUUGGUACAGGCGAUUUGUGGUGACAUAACAUAGGAGGCUUUUAUUUGCAUCAAAUUUGACUUUGUUGUUUCUUCACUGCAUUUGAAAAAUCCACAUUGAGAUAUUGCUGCAGUUUGCAUGACUUCUUUGAUCCAGUGGACAAAAUAUGGCAAAUGGCAAAUGAUGCAUUAAAAUUUUUC